rnacentral:rRNA from 1 species
AUUUAUCGGUGCAGGAUGGGCCCGCGGCCUAUCAUCUUGUUGGUGGGGUAAUGGCCUACCAAGGCGACGACGGGUAGCCGACCUGAGAGGGUGACCGGCCACACUGGGACUGAGACACGGCCCACACUCCUACGGGAGGCAGCAGUGGGGAAUAUUGCACAAUGGGCGAAAGCCUGAUGCAGCGACGCCGCGUGAGGGAUGACGGCCUUCGGGUUGUAAACCUCUUUCAGCAUGGACGAAGCGCAAGUGACGGUACCUGCAUAAGAAGCACCGGCUAACUACG